rnacentral:ncRNA from 1 species
AUGGCAGGUGCAGGGGUCAGAGCGAGCAAUGUCUCUUUGUUCCUUAAUGCUGACGUCAAAGAAGUCCACAGUUCAGCCGGGCAAUGGGUGCCCUCGGAAAUGCGUUAUCGCAACCCCGGACUUUCAAUGUCAACGGAUCCUGACGCUGAUGAGUAUUCGCGUUAUGCGGUUGACGGUGCGGCGGUAGCCGCCAUGAAAGAAAUCAUUGAGUCCCAUGUGUAGCUAAAAGUUUUUACCGCGUGUCAUAUUCGCCCAAUAUGAUGCUUGCUUGUACCAGGCCCCUGCCCAUUAAACAGGGGCCUUUUUU